UACGUAGGGUGCGAGCGUUGUCCGGAAUUAUUGGGCGUAAAGAGCUUGUAGGCGGUUUGUCGCGUCUGCUGUGAAAAUCCGGGGCUCAACCCCGGACUUGCAGUGGGUACGGGCAGACUAGAGUGUGGUAGGGGAGACUGGAAUUCCUGGUGUAGCGGUGGAAUGCGCAGAUAUCAGGAGGAACACCAUGCGAAGGCAGGUCUCUGGGCCACACUGACGUGAGGAGCGAAAGCGUGGGGAGCGAAACAGG
rnacentral:rRNA from 1 species